rfam:Jeotgalibacillus malaysiensis strain D5, complete genome.
AUUAUAUAUUCAUUUGUACCGUAGACAGCAGGUGUCCUGAGUGACUUAAUGUCCUGCCGAGGUCAUGACGAUUAAAAGAAUUUUCUUUUACUUGAAAUGAUACGCCUCUAUGUCUACUUUCCGGCAUAGAGGCUUUUUUAUGAUCGG